rnacentral:tRNA from 1 species
GGGGCUGUAGCUCAGUGGUAGAGUGCUUGCCUAGCAUGCAUGAGGCACUGGGUUCGAUCCUUAGUACCA